UACGUAGGUGGCAAGCGUUGUCCGGAUUUAUUGGGCGUAAAGAGCGUGUAGGCGGCUUUGCAGGUCCGCUGUGAAAACUCGAGGCUCAACCUCGAGCUGUCGGUGGAAACCGUAAAGCUAGAGUCCGGAAGAGGAGAGUGGAAUUCCCGGUGUAGCGGUGAAAUGCGCAGAUAUCGGGAAGAACACCCGUGGCGAAGGCGGCUCUCUGGGACGGUACUGACGCUGAGACGCGAAAGCGUGGGGAGCGAACAGG
rnacentral:rRNA from 1 species